rnacentral:rRNA from 1 species
CGCUUGACUGUAUCUUGGAAUUGGGUUCGGGCUUUUCUUGCGCAGACUAGGUGGGAGGCUAUGAAGAUUUUCUUCUGGGAAAAUUGGAGCCAACAGUGAGAGACCACUCUUGGAAAAGGCUAGAAUCCUAAAUUGGUGAUCCUUGAAUCCAGGACACUUGACAGUUUCAGGUGGGCAGUUUUUCUGGGCGGAAGCCUCAUAAAAGGUAACUGAGGCGCCAAAGGUCCCCUCAGUCUGGACGGAAAUCAGACAUUGAGUGUAAAGGCAAAAGGGCUUGACUGCAAGACCCACAAGUCGAGCAGGGCGGAAAGCUGGCCUUAGUGAUCCGACGGUGCCGUGUGGGAAGGGGGCCGUCGCUCAAAACGAAUAAAAGUUA